GAUGAACGCUGGCGGCGUGCCUAAUACAUGCAAGUCGAGCGAACAGACGAGGCGCUUGCUCCUCUGACGUUAGCGGCGGACGGGUGAGUAACACGUGGAUAACCUACCUAUAAGACUGGGAUAACUUCGGGAAACCGGAGCUAAUACCGGAUAAUAUAUUGAACCGCAUGGUUCAAUAGUGAAAGACGGUUUUGCUGUCACUUCUAGAUGGAUCCGCGCCGCAUUAGCUAGUUGGUAAGGUAACGGCUUACCAAGGCAACGAUGCGUAGCCGACCUGAGAGGGUGAUCGGCCACACUGGAACUGAGACACGGUCCAGACUCCUACGGGAGGCAGCAGUAGGGAAUCUUCCGCAAUGGGCGAAAGCUUGACGGAGCAACGCCGCGUGAGUGAUGAAGGUCUUCGGAUCGUAAAACUCUGUUAUUAGGGAAGAACAAAUGUGUAAGUAACUAUGCACGUCUUGACGGUACCUAAUCAGAAAGCCACGGCUAACUACGUG
rnacentral:rRNA from 1 species